CAAAAAAUUCCAAGAUCACUAAUAAAUUUAUUACAGCGUGAUGGUAUCAACAUUAUAAAAGCGAAUGGCGAACAAUUACGACAAAUGAGAAACUUUUAUCGGGAAAUAGUGAUGGCGAAAUCCGGAGGUGAACUGUGUUUUUCAUCAAAUAAAACUAAACGAACUCAAAUUAACACAAAUUCUGAAAUUUCGCCACUGAUUUUACCUACAUGGGUAAAACGUACGGAAAAGGAAACUACAAUUGUGGAAUAAAUUAUCAUUCAAUGUUUAA